GGCCCUACAAUGAAAUUACUGCUGGAUGAAUCCAAAGAAUCGGCAUGUGAUUUUGAGUUAAAGUUUCUCCAACUACAAAAUUGAGAGGGCUUGCUCCUCCGAAAGACUAAAGUGUUCUAGUGAUGACAGUAAGAUUUAUCCAGAAAAGAUGUACAGGAUCCUGCGUUGCAUCUAGGAACGUGACUGAGUACCUCGGGAAAGAAUGCACGAAACUGCUCAAACUGGGGAAAAAAGAACUGCUACAAGGAAGAAUUCAUAUUGCAGCCUUGCUCUGACAGCACUGGGGCAGUGAUAUGGUGAAGACAAGCAAAUUUUCCAUUGCUGUAUACUAUGGAAAGGUAAAGUGCAACCGGCCACUUCCUCAGUUUGGCAGUCACAAGUAUGUGAAAAGAAGGUAUGUGCAGCAAUAUUUGGGGAACACUGAUGCAAGACAUCAGAUGGUCCUAUAAGAUGCAGGUGACAUAUCUGUCAACUUUUGCUUUGCAGUGGUCCUCAGUGAAAUCUUCAUUUUGUUUUUGUAAGCCGGCCUUGAUGGUAUAUGUAGGUUUAUAUUUUGCCAAGAUCAGAAGAGCAGAAAUAGACAGGCUAAUGUUAAUAGAGGAGGCAGUGUCUGAAAUUAAUUACACAGCUAAAAUUUUGCAGCCUGGAACUGAGUUUUUGUUGCUCUGUAAACAUUCUUCUAAAAUGGUCCCCUUUUCUAUGGUGUACAGAGAAGUAUCUAGCUGGUUGAAAUUGUUGUGUCAGUCAAAAGACACAGUUAUUUAUCAACAGUCUCAGAAUGGUUAACUUUUUUAAAGAGUGUGAGAUGUAAAUCAGCAAUCUCUGCUUUUAAUCACAGUAGAUGUAUGAGUUCCUUUUCAGUCCUAAUGAAGGAAUUUGGAGCUGGAGACCACAACAUGUUUGAAGUAAUUUUGAUGUCCCUUUUGCAUAGUCCCAAGGUAUCUAAGAUGUGGCUAAUAAUAAUAGCAGGUGUUGUCUUUUUCUCUCAGCAUGUGGCAUGAAAGUAGUGUGGCCACAAAGCUAUGCAUUAUUUACAUGGUGUCAACAUGUCAGCAAGUGGGAUGGCAGAGAGCCAGGUUAAAUCACUUCAGAUUUCAAACACAGGACACCAAAUAAUAACACUGUGUCACACUUGAGGACACAAGAAUCUGGCAAAUCAGCAGUAGAACAGUGUGCCAAGUUCAUUUGAAUGGCUUUUUUUUUUUUUCUUUUUUCCCCACACUGAAUGAUGAAGGAAUCAAAACUGAGAACCAAGAAAACUGUAAAAUUGGUUUUCUUUUUUUUUUUUCUAUUUCCCCCUCCACUCCCCCCAAAGUAGAAAAUUGUAUUCAGAAAAGAACUUUCUUUGAUUACUUAGUAUGAAGAUGCAUGGAUUUCUGCCCUUCAUCCAGGGGUGUCUACUUCUGAGAAUGCACAACCACACUAUGGUGCGUCUGUCAGCCCUUUGUCUUUGUUUCUGUAAGUGGUAAUUCUAUGUAAUUCUAUUUGAUCUUUUUACUUUCUUCCAUUAGCUUUUUGUAGAAGCUAAUGCAACAGGUUUGCAAUCAACCAAUGGGCCCUGUAUUGUAUUUGUAAAAGGCAGUUAUGUUAUUUAGAAUGGGUGCUUUAAGGUUUUGAGGCUUCCCAAGUGAAUGGAGCACAUGUAGAAAGGCUGCUCUCAGCCAUUACCACUUUUGCAGCAGCUCUGAUAUCUGUAUCACCCCUAUGGCUUGUUCACCUUACCAUCUUGUAGAAAGCUAACUCAGCAUAAGUAAAAUAUGGAUGGUGUUCUAUUGGUUUAGUAAUUCAACCGGGCUCACUCAAGGGCCACAUGAAAGUCAGAGAGGAUGGAAUAGAAGCCUGCAUGCCAGAGAAGGGAGGAUGUGGGGAAAAGUGAAGGCAGCAGGACUGCUGGCUGAAUUCAGCCAUACUGUGAAGCUUCACUCUAGAAUGCUUAAUGCACAAGAAGGGGCUGAUGGAAGGUUAAAAGAAGCAUCCAAAAUACUGGGAUUCAUUUACCUCAUCACCAUAAUACCCGUUUUAUGAAACUAGAGCUGUUUAUUCUCAUAAAAACCUUUUGCUUUUCUAAUUUUAAAGGACAAUGCAGCCAUUGGAAUCCAUGCACAGUUCUUUCAAGUUAAAUGCUUAG